rnacentral:rRNA from 1 species
UACAGAGGGUGCAAGCGUUAAUCGGAAUUACUGGGCGUAAAGGGCGUGUAGGUGGUUAAUUAAGUCAGAUGUGAAAUCCCUGGGCUUAACCUAGGAAUUGCAUAUGAAACUGAUUGUCUAGAGUUCGGGAGAGGGAAGUGGAAUUUCCGGUGUAGCGGUGAAAUGCGUAGAUAUCUGGAGGAACACCGGUGGCGAAGGCGGCAUCCUGGACCAACACUGACACUGAGAAGCGAAAGCCAGGGGAGCAAACGGG